rnacentral:rRNA from 1 species
AGUGAACGCUGGCGGUAGGCCUAACACAUGCAAGUCGAACGGCAGCACAGUAAGAGCUUGCUCUUACGGGUGGCGAGUGGCGGACGGGUGGGGAAUACAUCGGAAUCUACUUUUUCGUGGGGGAUAACGUAGGGAAACUUACGCUAAUACCGCAUACGACCUACGGGUGAAAGCAGGGGAUCUUCGGACCUUGCGCGAUUGAAUGAGCCGAUGUCGGAUUAGCUAGUUGGCGGGGUAAAGGCCCACCAAGGCGACGAUCCGUAGCUGGUCUGAGAGGAUGAUCAGCCACACUGGAACUGAGACACGGUCCAGACUCCUACGGGAGGCAGCAGUGGGGAAUAUUGGACAAUGGGCGCAAGCCUGAUCCAGCCAUACCGCGUGGGUGAAGAAGGCCUUCGGGUUGUAAAGCCCUUUUGUCGGGAAAGAAAAGCAGCAGGUUAAUACCCCGCUGUUCUGACGGUACCCAAAGAAUAAGCACCGGCUAACUUCGUG